CACGACCCCUCUAAAAGGACGCGGUUUGACUCUGCUGUCCUCAGUUUAGCUGUAAAAGUGACACUGUUCUUCAGAAACAUCCAGUGGAAUCAUGAACUCCCAUCAGAUCUCUGCCUUCUUCCUCCUGAUGACAGUGCUGCUGUCCUCCACUCAGGCUCAACUUGCCAAUCCACCAGACCAGUGCUGUUUUGAUUACUUUUCUGGAAGACUGAGGACGACCCUGAUAGUUGGAUAUAAAGAGACCAGAGCAAACUGCCCUAAAUCUGGAAUUAUAUUUUACACCACAAAGGGCAAAGAACUGUGUGUCGAUCCCAGCCAUCGCUGGGUGAAGCAGGUGAUGCAGAAGCUGGAUCAGCAGUGAUGCCUCCUGUCUGCCUGGCAAAACAUAAAGAAUGAGAAUAUUGCAUUUCAGAUUCUAGUUUAAUGCUCAAAUAACAUAAUUUUUUUGUCCUCAUCCAAAUCAUUUAGACUUCUGCUGCAUUUAUUAGUUUAUUAAGGAGAUAAGCAAACUGAAAUGGAAUCGACAAUCUUGUUUUUUGGUUGGGGGUCAUAGACAUUUGGUCCCCACAAUGUAAUAUAAACCAUCCAGAAGGCUAUUUGUAAUUUUAUGCAGUGUAUUUUAUAAUCAGUUAUUUUUCCUUUGCUUCGCUUUACAAUAUGACACAACAAACAGCAUGUUCACUAACGAGACUCUCCCUCGAUUUGUAUGACAUUUAGAAGAUCCUUAUAAGGGAAAAAAGACAAACUGUAGUUUCA